UGUGGGAACCNAANCGAACGCUUGGCGGCAGGCUUAACACAUGCAAGUCGAGCGGGCGUAGCAAUACGUCAGCGGCAGACGGGUGAGUAACGCGUGGGAACAUACCUUUUGGUUCGGAACAACACAGGGAAACUUGUGCUAAUACCGGAUAAGCCCUUACGGGGAAAGAUUUAUCGCCGAAAGAUUGGCCCGCGUCUGAUUAGCUAGUUGGUGAGGUAAUGGCUCACC
rnacentral:rRNA from 1 species